AUUGAACGCUGGCGGCAGGCCUAACACAUGCAAGUCGAGCGAGCGGCGGACGGGCGAGUAAUGUAUGGGGAUCUGCCCGACCGAGGGGGCUAACUACUGGAACCGGUGGCUAAUACCGCAUACUAUCGGUUGAACCCAUGUGGGAUUAGCUAGUGGGUGGGGUAAAGGCUCACCUAGGCGACGAUCCUUAGCUGGUCUGAGAGGCUGAUCGGCCACACUGGGACUGAGACACGGCCCAGAAUCCUACGGGAGGCAGCAGUGGGGAAUAUUGCGCAAUGGGCGCAAGCCUGAUGCAGCCAUGCCGCGUGUAUGAAGAAGGCCUUAGGGUUGUAAAGUACUUUCAGCGGGGAGGCGUUACCCGCAGAAGAAGCACCGGCUAACUCCGUGCCAGCAGCCGCGGUAAUAC
rnacentral:rRNA from 1 species